rnacentral:rRNA from 1 species
CGGGGUGCAGCAGGCGCGAAAACUUUACAAUGCCGGCAACGGCGAUAAGGGAACCUCGAGUGCCAGGUUACAAAUCUGGCUGUCGUGAUGCCUAAAAAGCAUUGCAUAGCAAGGGCCGGGCAAGACCGGUGCCAGCCGCCGCGGUAACACCGGCGGCUCGAGUGGUAACCGUUAUUAUUGGGUCUAAAGGGUCUGUAGCCGGCCGGAUAAGUCUCUUGGGAAAUCUGGCAGCUUAACUGUCAGGCUUUCAGGAGAUACUGUCUGGCUCGAGGCCGGGAGAGGUGAGAGGUACUUCAGGGGUAGGGGUGAAAUCUUGUAAUCCUUGAAGGACCGCCAGUGGCGAAGGCGUCUCACCAGAACGGACCUGACGGCAAGGGACGAAAGCUAGGGGCACGAACCGGAUUAGAUACCCGGGUAGUCCUAGCCGUAAACGAUACUCGCUAGGUGUCGGCCACGGUGCGACCGUGGUCGGUGCCGUAGGGAAGCCGUGAAGCGAGCCACCUGGGAAGUACGGCCGCAAGGCUGAAACUUAAAGGAAUUGGCGGGGGAGCACA